rnacentral:rRNA from 1 species
CCUACGGGAGGCAGCAGUGAGGAAUAUUGGUCAAUGGGCGGAAGCCUGAACCAGCCAAGUAGCGUGCAGGAUGACGGCCCUACGGGUUGUAAACUGCUUUUGUCGGGGAGCAAAAGACGCCACGCGUGGCGUUCCGAGAGUACCCGAAGAAAAAGCAUCGGCUAACUCCGUGCCAGCAGCCGCGGUAAUACGGAGGAUGCGAGCGUUAUCCGGAUUUAUUGGGUUUAAGGGGUGCGCAGGCGGAAGAUCAAGUCAGCGGUAAAAUUGAGAGGCUCAACCUCUUCGAGCCGUUGAAACUGGUUUUCUUGAGUGAGUGAGAAGUAUGCGGAAUGCGUGGUGUAGCGGUGAAAUGCAUAGAUAUCACGCAGAACUCCGAUUGCGAAGGCAGCAUACCGGCGCUCAACUGACGCUCAUGCACGAAAGUGUGGGUAUCGAACAGGAUUAGAUACCCGGGUAGUC